AUUGCCCUACGGGAGGCAGCAGUGGGGAAUAUUGGGCAAUGGGCGCAAGCCUGACCCAGCAACGCCGCGUGAAGGAAGAAGGCUUUCGGGUUGUAAACUUCUUUUAAGAGGGAAGAGUAGAAGACGGUACCUCUUGAAUAAGCCACGGCUAACUACGUGCCAGCAGCCGCGGUAAUACGUAGGGGGCAAGCGUUAUCCGGAUUUACUGGGUGCAAAGGGGGCGCAGACGGCGAUGCAAGCCAGGAGUGAAAGCCCGGGGCCCAACCCCGGGACUGCUCUUGGAACUGCGUGGCUAGAGUGCAGGG
rnacentral:rRNA from 1 species